CCAGGCUGUCGACCUGCAGCGCCUCCUCUGGUUUCAGCACGUCGGCCGCGUUUUCCUGCGUGAGCACCCAGCUCUGCCGGACGGUGAAGCGGAGUCGGGUGGAGUUGUGGCUGACCUCCAGGCAGCAGGGGGCGCUGGGCUUGACUGACGGUGGAAACAGAGCGGGUUUAACCUGAGCUGUCACAGUAAACAGAGUGAAACCUGCGGCCGGGUCUCCUAGCAACCAGGUGGAGCGGAGGAGAGUCAGGAUCAGCAGCUUCAUCCUGAGAGGAG